AAGUCGUAACAAGGUUUCCGUAGGUGAACCUGCGGAAGGAUCAUUAACACGUAUCCACGUAUUAAUCAACCGAGAAUAGUUUUCAACUCCUCCCUCCUAAGGAUCAUGAGUGGGCCAGCUUCCGAGAUAGAGUGGGCUCUAACGAGCGCUUGGGGCAUCGCUUAAAGACUGACGCUUAAACAACAAGCCAGUACCACUGAAUUUCACAAGAGGCAACCUUCUAGACUGCCAAGUGAUCCAGCUCUCUACCCAAUGGUCUAGAUCUAACCAUCACCACAAACACCAACCUUUUUGCUAGUUGACUUUCAAUUGUGAGUCUGUCCGCAAGGAACGGCUUACACGUUUGAUUAUUUGAACGUUAAAAUUACAACUCUUAGCAAUGGAUAUCUUGGUUCUC
rnacentral:misc_RNA from 1 species